GUCCCAGCCGCCGCGGUAAUACAGAGGGUGCAAGCGUUAAUCGGAUUUACUGGGCGUAAAGCGCGCGUAGGCGGCUAAUUAAGUCAAAUGUGAAAUCCCCGAGCUUAACUUGGGAAUUGCAUUCGAUACUGGUUAGCUAGAGUGUGGGAGAGGAUGGUAGAAUUCCAGGUGUAGCGGUGAAAUGCGUAGAGAUCUGGAGGAAUACCGAUGGCGAAGGCAGCCAUCUGGCCUAACACUGACGCUGAGGUGCGAAAGCAUGGGGAGCAAACAGGAUUAGAUACCCUGGUAGUCCAUGCCGUAAACGAUGUCUACUAGCCGUUGGGGCCUUUGAGGCUUUAGUGGCGCAGCUAACGCGAUAAGUAGACCGCCUGGGGAGUACGGUCGCAAGACUAAAACUCAAAUGAAUUGACGGGGGCCCGCACAAGCGGUGGAGCAUGUGGUUUAAUUCGAUGCAACGCGAAGAACCUUACCUGGCCUUGACAUAGUAAGAACUUUCCAGAGAUGGAUUGGUGCCUUCGGGAACUUACAUACAGGUGCUGCAUGGCUGUCGUCAGCUCGUGUCGUGAGAUGUUGGGUUAAGUCCCGCAACGAGCGCAACCCUUUUCCUUAUUUGCCAGCGAGUAAUGUCGGGAACUUUAAGGAUACUGCCAGUGACAAACUGGAGGAAGGCGGGGACGACGUCAAGUCAUCAUGGCCCUUACGGCCAGGGCUACACACGUGCUACAAUGGUCGGUACAAAGGGUUGCUACCUAGCGAUAGGAUGCUAAUCUCAAAAAGCCGAUCGUAGUCCGGGAUUGCAGUCUGCACUCGACUCCAUGAGUCAGGAUCGCUAGUAUCGCGGAUCAGAAUGCCGCGGUGAUACGUUCCCGGGCCUUGUACACACCGCCCGUCACACCAUGGGAGUUUGUUGCACCAGAAGUAGCUAGCCUAACUGCAAAGAGGGCGGCUACCACGGUGUGGCCGAUGACUGGGGUGAAGUCGUAACAAGGUAACCAUUCCAUAAUGGAAUUCCAGUCCGACUGCAGGGUGCACCAAUGGGCAAGCUCACCGUACGGAUGCAUAGCCUUGGCAU
rnacentral:rRNA from 1 species